rnacentral:rRNA from 1 species
UACGUAGGGUGCAAGCGUUGUUCGGAGUUACUGGGCGUAAAGGGUGCGUAGGUGGCUCUAUAAGUAUGGUGUGAAAUCUCCCGGCUUAACUGGGAGGGUGCGCCGUAGACUGUGGGGCUAGAGUGUGGGAGAGGAAAGUGGAAUUCCUGGUGUAGCGGUGAAAUGCGUAGAUAUCAGGAGGAACACCGGUGGUGUAAACGGCUUUCUGGACCAUAACUGACACUGAGGCACGAAAGCGUGGGUAGCAAACAGG